rnacentral:rRNA from 1 species
AGCGAACGCUGGCGGCAGGCUUAACACAUGCAAGUCGAGCGGGCAUAGCAAUAUGUCAGCGGCAGACGGGUGAGUAACGCGUGGGAACGUACCUUUUGGUUCGGAACAACUGAGGGAAACUUCAGCUAAUACCGGAUAAGCCCUUACGGGGAAAGAUUUAUCGCCGAAAGAUCGGCCCGCUUCUGAUUAGCUAGUUGGUGAGGUAAUGGCUCACCAAGGCGACGAUCAGUAGCUGGUCUGAGAGGAUGAUCAGCCACAUUGGGACUGAGACACGGCCCAAACUACUACGGGAGGCAGCAGUGGGGAAUAUUGGAAAAUGGGCGCAAGCAUGAUCCAGCCAUGCCGCGUGAGUGAUGAAGGCCCUAGGGUUGUAAAGCUCUUUUGUGCGGGAAGAUAAUGACGGUACCGAAAGAAUAAGCCCCGGCUAACUUCGUG